AGCGAGUCUCUUUUCGGAGGAGAAUCGCUAACGUUGGAAAUUGUCAAGUAAAGAAUUAACAAACUGAAUAUCAAAGCCAAAGCUUUAACCACUCGUCGAACAUGACGACUACCAAAGCCACUUCGACUAAUCAAACCCUUGUCCUCAAAACUAAAAUCAUUCAUUUAGGUAGUAAUUGAUCUUCAAAAAGUAGAAUAGUAUAUAUAUAUAUAUAUCCGUAAAGAAUGACCAAGCGUGUUAAAGGAUCAAGGAAGAUAUCAGAAAAGUAA